CCUACGGGAGGCAGCAGUGGGGGAUAUUGCACAAUGGGGGAAACCCUGAUGCAGCGACGCCGCGUGGGCGAAGAAGUAUUUCGGUAUGUAAAGCCCUAUCAGCAGGGAAGAAGAAAUGACGGUACCUGAGUAAGCAGCACCGGCUAAAUACGUGCCAGCAGCCGCGGUAAUACGUAUGGUGCAAGCGUUAUCCGGAUUUACUGGGUGGAAAGGGGGCGCAGGCGGCACGGCAAGCCUGAUGUGAAAGCCCGCGGCCCAACCGCGGGACUGCAUUGGGAACUACCGGGCUGGAGUGCCGGAGAGGUAGGCGGAAUUCCUAGUGUAGCGGUGAAAUGCGUAGAUAUUAGGAGGAACACCAGUGGCGAAGGCGGCCUACUGGACGGUGACUGACGCUGAGGCUCGAAAGCGUGGGGAGCAAACAGGAUUAGAUACCCCAGUAGUC
rnacentral:rRNA from 1 species